GUAAUGUCGUGUUGAGCAAAAGCAAAAUAUUCAUUUGUUUACUGGAGUACAUUUUCUACUUGACAUCCCGCAAGCUUUCGUCAUUAGUCAGCCGAUUCCAGACGAUGGUUCUGUGUCACGUGACGGUGUGUGUGUACUGCCUCUUGAUGUUUGGAACCUCUGGAGCGGCGGAGGAUGUGCUUCUUGGGAAAGUGAAUGACACAGAGGUCACUGGGAAGGUAUUCGUUUUGACAUGCACCGUAUCCGGACAUGCUAUUCACAACACAGUCUACUUUAACCGAAGCGAAGAGACCAUAUGCAAUGCUCGAUAUUGGAAAGCUGAUAACUGCACAUCCAGUACACACACAACUAAGGAAUACACCUGUGGAUGUCAAACUCACAAAUCAGAUGCGAGAACAUAUUUCCUUAAAAUACACAAGUUGAGUGGGAAGGAUUCAACGCAGUGGACAUGUUUUGUGAAAGAUUCCAACAUGUCCGGAAGCCACAU